GACGAACCGUGCGAACGUUGUUCGGAAUCACUGGGCUUAAAGGGCGCGUAGGCGGCUUACUAAGUCAGGGGUGAAAUCUUGCGGCUUAACCGUAAUCAGCCUCUGAUACUGGUAGGCUCGAGGGAGGUAGGGGUAUGUGGAACUUCUGGUGGAGCGGUGAAAUGCGUUGAUAUCAGAAGGAACGCCGGUGGCGAAAGCGACGUACUGGACCUCUUCUGACGCUGAGGCGCGAAAGCUAGGGGAGCAAACGGG
rnacentral:rRNA from 1 species